AUGGACAUGAGGGCCCCCGCUCAGCUCCUGGGGAUCAUGCUUCUCUGGCUUCCAGGUGCCAGAUGUGACAUCCAGUUGACCCAGUCUCCAUCCUCCCUGUCUGCAUCUGUAGGAGACAGAGUCACCAUCACUUGCCAGGCCAGUCAGAACAUUUACAGUAAUUUACACUGGUAUCAGCAAAAACCAGGGAAAGUCUCUACGCUCUUGAUCUAUACAGCAUCCAAUUUACAAAGCGGGGUCCCAACCAGGUUCAGUGGCAGCGGAUCAGGGACAGAUUAUUCUCUCAUCAUCAGCAGCCUGGAGGCUGAUGAUGUUGGAACUUAUUACUGUCAACAAGGUUAUAGUGACCCUCCCACAGUGUGA